GCAGCAGUGGGGAAUUUUCCGCAAUGGGCGAAAGCCUGACGGAGCAACGCCGCGUGAGGGAUGAAGGCCUCUGGGCUGUAAACCUCUUUUAUCAAGGAAGAAGAUCUGACGGUACUUGAUGAAUAAGCCACGGCUAAUUCCGUGCCAGCAGCCGCGGUAAUACGGGAGUGGCAAGCGUUAUCCGGAAUUAUUGGGCGUAAAGCGUCCGCAGGCGGCCCUUCAAGUCUGCUGUUAAAAAGUGGAGCUUAACUCCAUCAUGGCAGUGGAAACUGAGGGGCUUGAGUGUGGUAGGGGCAGAGGGAAUUCCCGGUGUAGCGGUGAAAUGCGUAGAUAUCGGGAAGAACACCAGUGGCGAAGGCGCUCUGCUGGGCCAUUACUGACGCUCAUGGACGAAAGCCAGGGGAGCGAAAGGGAUUAGAUACCCCUGUAGUCCUGGCCGUAAACGAUGAACACUAGGUGUCGGGGGAAUCGACCCCUUCGGUGUCGUAGCUAACGCGUUAAGUGUUCCGCCUGGGGAGUACGCACGCAAGUGUGAAACUCAAAGGAAUUGACGGGGGCCCGCACAAGCGGUGGAGUAUGUGGUUUAAUUCGAUGCAACGCGAAGAACCUUACCAGGGUUUGACAUCCUGAGAACCUCUUAGAAAUUUGAGGGUGCCUUCGGGAAUUCAGUGACAGGUGGUGCAUGGCUGUCGUCAGCUCGUGUCGUGAGAUGUUGGGUUAAGUCCCGCAACGAGCGCAACCCACGUCUUUAGUUGCCAGCAUUUAGUUGGGCACUCUAGAGAGACCGCCGGUGAUAAACCGGAGGAAGGUGUGGAUGACGUCAAGUCAUCAUGCCCCUUACACCCUGGGCUACACACGUACUACAAUGCUACGGACAAAGGGCAGCAAGUUCGCGAGGACAAGCAAAUCCCAUAAACCGUGGCUCAGUUCAGAUCGUAGGCUGCAACUCGCCUACGUGAAGUAGGAAUCGCUAGUAAUCGCAGGUCAGCAUACUGCGGUGAAUACGUUCCCGGGCCUUGUACACACCGCCCGUCACACCAUGGAAGUUGGCCAUGCCCGAAGUCGUUACUCCAACCCUUGUGGAGGAGGACGCCGAAGGUGGGGCUAAUGACUGGGGUGAAGUCGUAACAAGGUAGCCGUACCGGAAGGUGCG
rnacentral:rRNA from 1 species